rnacentral:rRNA from 1 species
UGGGGAAUUUUGGACAAUGGGGGAAACCCUGAUCCAGCCAUCCCGCGUGUGCGAUGAAGGCCUUCGGGUUGUAAAGCACUUUUGGCAGGAAAGAAACGUCGCGGGUUAAUACCCCGCGAAACUGACGGUACCUGCAGAAUAAGCACCGGCUAACUACGUGCCAGCAGCCGCGGUAAUACGUAGGGUGCAAGCGUUAAUCGGAAUUACUGGGCGUAAAGCGUGCGCAGGCGGUUCGGAAAGAAAGAUGUGAAAUCCCAGAGCUUAACUUUGGAACUGCAUUUUUAACUACCGGGCUAGAGUGUGUCAGAGGGAGGUGGAAUUCCGCGUGUAGCAGUGAAAUGCGUAGAUAUGCGGAGGAACACCGAUGGCGAAGGCAGCCUCCUGGGAUAACACUGACGCUCAUGCACGAAAGCGUGGGGAGCAAACAGGAUUAGAUACCCUGGUAGUCCACGCCCUAAACGAUGUCAACUAGCUGUUGGGGACUUC